AGCAGUGAGGGGCCACCCGGGGCACAGGAAAGGGCUGCUGGGGGAGGGCCGGGUGCACUCGGGGUGUCUGGGCCGCGGGUCUGAGGGAUGAGGAGGGGCCAUGGCCAGCGACGGGGCCAGGAAGCAAUUCUGGAAGCGCAGCAACAGCAAGCUCCCGGGCAGGCCCUUGGCUGCCACUUUGAUGUCCCACUGAUUCCACUGCUCCUGGCCUUCAGAUCAGCAUCCAGCACGUGUAUGGUGCCCAGCACCCCCCCUUUGAUCCACUGUUACAUGGCACGCAUUCCUCAGGGAGGAGACUGGUUUCUCAUUCAGCCACACUGAUCAAGCAGUCGCUUUGUGUGAGAUACUGUGCACCCCGUGCUGCGCAUCCCGGUGAAGACGGCAGAUGUGGGAGCCACAGCCUGAUGUGGGGAGUUUGCUCAGGUCCACGGCCAAGAUGCCGGCCACACCAGUGAAGGCCAAGAGGGUCAGCACCUUCCAGGAGUUUGAGAGCAAUACCAGCGAUGCCUGGGACGCUGGGGAGGAUGGCG
rnacentral:sRNA from 1 species